rnacentral:rRNA from 2 species
GCAAGUCGAACGAACUCUGGUAUUGAUUGGUGCUUGCAUCAUGAUUUACAUUUGAGUGAGUGGCGAACUGGUGAGUAACACGUGGGAAACCUGCCCAGAAGCGGGGGAUAACACCUGGAAACAGAUGCUAAUACCGCAUAACAACUUGGACCGCAUGGUCCGAGCUUGAAAGAUGGCUUCGGCUAUCACUUUUGGAUGGUCCCGCGGCGUAUUAGCUAGAUGGUGGGGUAACGGCUCACCAUGGCAAUGAUACGUAGCCGACCUGAGAGGGUAAUCGGCCACAUUGGGACUGAGACACGGCCCAAACUCCUACGGGAGGCAGCAGUAGGGAAUCUUCCACAAUGGACGAAAGUCUGAUGGAGCAACGCCGCGUGAGUGAAGAAGGGUUUCGGCUCGUAAAACUCUGUUGUUAAAGAAGAACAUAUCUGAGAGUAACUGUUCAGGUAUUGACGGUAUUUAACCAGAAAGCCACGGCUAACUACGUGCCAGCAGCCGCGGUAAUACGUAGGUGGCAAGCGUUGUCCGGAUUUAUUGGGCGUAAAGCGAGCGCAGGCGGUUUUUUAAGUCUGAUGUGAAAGCCUUCGGCUCAACCGAAGAAGUGCAUCGGAAACUGGGAAACUUGAGUGCAGAAGAGGACAGUGGAACUCCAUGUGUAGCGGUGAAAUGCGUAGAUAUAUGGAAGAACACCAGUGGCGAAGGCGGCUGUCUGGUCUGUAACUGACGCUGAGGCUCGAAAGUAUGGGUAGCAAACAGGAUUAGAUACCCUGGUAGUCCAUACCGUAAACGAUGAAUGCUAAGUGUUGGAGGGUUUCCGCCCUUCAGUGCUGCAGCUAACGCAUUAAGCAUUCCGCCUGGGGAGUACGGCCGCAAGGCUGAAACUCAAAGGAAUUGACGGGGGCCCGCACAAGCGGUGGAGCAUGUGGUUUAAUUCGAAGCUACGCGAAGAACCUUACCAGGUCUUGACAUACUAUGCAAAUCUAAGAGAUUAGACGUUCCCUUCGGGGACAUGGAUACAGGUGGUGCAUGGUUGUCGUCAGCUCGUGUCGUGAGAUGUUGGGUUAAGUCCCGCAACGAGCGCAACCCUUAUUAUCAGUUGCCAGCAUUAAGUUGGGCACUCUGGUGAGACUGCCGGUGACAAACCGGAGGAAGGUGGGGAUGACGUCAAAUCAUCAUGCCCCUUAUGACCUGGGCUACACACGUGCUACAAUGGAUGGUACAACGAGUUGCGAACUCGCGAGAGUAAGCUAAUCUCUUAAAGCCAUUCUCAGUUCGGAUUGUAGGCUGCAACUCGCCUACAUGAAGUCGGAAUCGCUAGUAAUCGCGGAUCAGCAUGCCGCGGUGAAUACGUUCCCGGGCCUUGUACACACCGCCCGUCACACCAUGAGAGUUUGUAACACCCAAAGUCGGUGGGGUAACC